rfam:Trichobilharzia regenti genome assembly, scaffold: TRE_scaffold0007281
AUCCAGAUGAUGAGUUCCAAACAGGACGAAAUGCACCUUAUGCUGGAU